UACGUAGGGUGCAAGCGUUGUCCGGAAUUAUUGGGCGUAAAGCGCUCGUAGGCGGUUUGUCGCGUCUGCUGUGAAAACCCGAGGCUCAACCUCGGGCCUGCAGUGGGUACGGGCAGACUAGAGUGCGGUAGGGGAGAGUGGAAUUCCUGGUGUAGCGGUGGAAUGCGCAGAUAUCAGGAGGAACACCAAUGGCGAAGGCAGAUCGCUGGGCCGUAACUGACGCUGAGGAGCGAAAGCAUGGGGAGCGAACAGG
rnacentral:rRNA from 1 species